rnacentral:rRNA from 1 species
GGGUGAGUAACGCGUAUCCAACCUGCCCCCAACCGCCGCACAGCCCGCCGAAAGGCGGAUUAAUUCGGCAUGAGGUCCGGCGACGGCAUCAUAUCCGGACGAAAGGAUUUUAUCCGGUUGGGGAUGGGGAUGCGUCCGAUUAGGCAGCAGGCGGGGUGACGGCCCACCUGGCCGGCGAUCGGUAGGGGUUCUGAGAGGAAGGUCCCCCACAUUGGAACUGAGACACGGUCCAAACUCCUACGGGAGGCAGCAGUGAGGAAUAUUGGUCAAUGGGCGCAGGCCUGAACCAGCCAAGUAGCGUGUGGGACGACGGCCCUACGGGUUGUAAACCACUUUUGCGCGGGGAUAACAAGCGGGACUCGUCCCGCCCUGCAGGUACCGCGCGAAUAAGGACCGGCUAAUUCCGUGCCAGCAGCCGCGGUAAUACGGAAGGUCCGGGCGUUAUCCGGAUUUAUUGGGUUUAAAGGGAGCGUAGGCGGGAUGUCAAGCGUGCUGUGAAAAGCUGCGGCUCAACCGUAGUCGUGCAGCGCGAACUGGCUUCCUUGAGUGCGCGGGAGGCACGCGGAAUUCGUGGUGUAGCGGUGAAAUGCUUAGAUAUCACGAGGAACCCCGAUUGCGAA